CGUUACUUUGUAAGCUCCCCAUUUUUGUAUGGGGGGCGCCAAGGAGAAUCUGCGGCUGAGCGGCCGGUCGGAUGUGCUUGUGCUGUUGAAUCGCUAGCGCGGAUGAAAGUAUGACCAAAAUUGAAGCGAGGUUGCGGAUAUAAUCAAGAUUCUUUUUCUUGAUUCUAAUACAGGAACACUAGUCGAUACUUUGUUCCAUACACAAGUAACAAAAGCACUUUCCCUUCAUUAUUAUCUUUUGUUCUAUGAGGUUUACCCACAGCGGUGUGCACAAAUUUCUGGCUAAAUGGAUUUCUCCAAUCAUAUUCCAAUAAUGGUAUUGAAAAGAAUUUUGACUAAUAAUUGGCAGUCAAUGUUAAAUUGAUUAAUAAGAAUAAAGAACUGCAGCUGGAUGAGUCUGUCUGACUGAGUCUUCACAGUUAUCUUGAGACGUGGAGGAGAGUAAUUUAUAUAUUAAACAUAUGCAAUAACAUAUAUAGUACCAAAGUCACGUGGCAAAAUAUUUGAUGAAUUUUCAACUCUCAAAGGACUGCUUCGAUAGCAAAGAAAUAGCAUGGAUGAUUCAAUAAGACAAUGAU